rnacentral:rRNA from 1 species
UACGUAGGCAGCGAGCGUUGUUCGGAGUUACUGGGCGUAAAGGGCGCGUAGGUGGCUUCUUAAGCGUGCGGUGAAAGCCUGGGGCUCAACCCCGGGUCGGCCGUGCGAACUGGGGGGCUGGAGCACUGUAGAGGCAGGCGGAAUUCCGGGUGUAGCGGUGGAAUGCGUAGAGAUCCGGAAGAACACCGGUGGCGAAGGCGGCCUGCUGGGCAGUUGCUGACACUGAGGCGCGACAGCGUGGGGAGCAAACAGG